UUAUUUAAUCAAAGUUUGUGUGCAGUCAGA
rnacentral:piRNA from 1 species